GUGACGUGGAUAUGCCGACGUCCACGGCAUAUGUAGCGGCCAAUACAUGUGAGGUUGGUAACCAUAAAAAAAAGGGGGCAUCAUCUAUGUCUAGAGGAAAGAAGGCUUCACCAUUAUCACAGACAGGGAUUCUUAACUGUAAGAACAGUUAAGGACAUUUAUCAUCGUUGCUUUGAUCCGUGUAUCCUGUGGACUCCUUCAGAUUCGGUGGACUACGAUGACCAGCCUUUUUUUUUUGUUUAAUAUUAAUAAAAUGGUUACUGAGGGUUUGUGGGGG